AGAACGAACGCUGGCGGCAGGCUUAACACAUGCAAGUCGAACGCGUGUAGCAAUACACGAGUGGCGCACGGGUGAGUAACGCGUGGAUAUCUGCCUUUUGGUUCGGAAUAACCCCGGGAAACUGGGGCUAAUACCGGAUGGUUCCUACGGGAUAAAGAUUUAUCGCCAAAAGAUGAGUCCGCGUACGAUUAGCUAGUUGGUGAGGUAAUGGCUCACCAAGGCGACGAUCGUUAGCUGGUCUGAGAGGACGAUCAGCCACACUGGGACUGAGACACGGCCCAGACUCCUACGGGAGGCAGCAGUGGGGAAUAUUGGACAAUGGGGGCAACCCUGAUCCAGCCAUGCCGCGUGAGUGAUGAAGGCCUUCGGGUUGUAAAGCUCUUUUGGCGGGACGAUGAUGACGGUACCCGCAGAAUAAGCCCCGGCUAACCUUCGCGCCAGCAGCCGC
rnacentral:rRNA from 1 species